rnacentral:rRNA from 1 species
ACGGGGGAGGCAAGCGUUGUCCGGAAUUAUUGGGCGUAAAGAGCGCGUAGGUGGCUUAUCAAGUCAUUUGUGAAAACUUUAGGCUUAACUUAAAGAUUGCAAGUGAUACUGGUAAACUUGAGCACAGUAGAGGAAAGUGGAAUUCCUGGUGUAGCGGUGAAAUGCGCAGAUAUCAGGAAGAACACCGGUGGCGAAGGCGGCUUUCUGGGCUGUUGCUGACACUGAGGCGCGAAAGCUAGGGGAGCAAACAGG